GUUGGAGAAUUGUAAUAAGGGCCGGGUCACACCCGUUCCCAUACCGAACACGGUAGUUAAGCUCUUCAGCGCCGAUGGUAGUCGGGGGCUUCCCCCUGUGAGAGUAGGACGCCGCCAAGC
rnacentral:rRNA from 1 species